CAAAAUAAUAACAGUUUAGCCCUCAAACAAAGUCAAGGACCUUCAGUUCCUCCUUGAAGCUUCUAGAUAACAUCCUGAGCCAUGUCCUUGAGUUGCUUUGCAGACAUGGAAACCCCCCACCAGGUGGAAGAAGGUGACUGCGUAGAGCCCGGGCUGCCUGGACCCAGAAGGCUGGUGGUGUUGACUCCGCAGAUCCUACCUGGUUGUCUCACCACCAGCCCAUCAGAACAAAGUCCAGAAGCUGAUCACACGCCCUGCCACGCUCACCCUUAACGCCGCCCUUGAAACCCUCCCCUGACAGCCUUGGAGACUUCGGGUCUUUUGAGCACGAGCUGCCCAUCCUCCAGCUCGGCCCCUUGUUGGAUGCUUUCCUUCCUGUGUCGGGACACUGGCGUCACCGCGUGAAGGAAGAGCCGAAGAGCCAGCACUCCGAGCUGGACAGGCGAUCUCCACCAAGUCACGGCCUGCGGGGGUUCCAGCCAGACACGUGAGCACAGACCAACCUCAUGCUGACUCCACAGACGGAAACCAACCAGCACGCCACUUCUGACCACGGCUUCCCACUAAGCAUCUUCAACAAGGUCAACGCUUUCAGAAGACCGAUUUCCAAGUAAAAUCUUCCACUUUUACUGAACACAUCUCAUGCAAUGGGUGGUGUUUAUAGUCAUUAAUUUCCGGGGAGGGGUGUACUUUGCUGGCGUUGAUAAGACAUCAAUGAGAAUGAAGGAGUCAAGCAUCAAAACUGCCAGGAAUGGGAACAUUAAUCCCAGGCACGGUUUGCAGGGAUAUUUUAAAUGGUACAAAGACAUUUUUCAACAUUUCCUGGCUUUGUCAUGUGGUAUUUAUGCUGGCUUGGGUUAAGAUUCAAAUACACAGGGAGUUCCCCUUGUGGUGCAGCGGAAACGAAUCCGACUAGUAUCCAUGAGGAUGUGGGUUCCGUGCGUUCCACGCGGCAUUGCCGUGAGCUGUGGCAUAGGCCACAAAUGCGGCUCGGAUUCCGCAUUGCUGUGGCUGUGGUGUAGGCCAGAGCUGUAGCUCUGAUUCAUCCUCUAGCCUGGGAACUUCCAUAUGCCCCGGGUGCAGCCAUAAAAAAGACCAAAAAAAAAAAAAAAAAGAUUCAAAUGCACAAAAAUCAAGUUUAUUCAAUCUUCAUAUUUGAAGUGGCAAAAUUAGUAGUUUGGGAGCUCCCGUGUGGCUCAGUGGCUUAAGGACCUGAUAGUGUCUCUGUGAGGAUGUGGGUUCAAUCCCUGGCCUCCUUCAGUGGAUUAAGGAUCUGGUAUUGCUGUGGCUGUGGCCUAGGUCGCGGUUGCAGCUCCGAUAUGACCCCUGCCCCAGGAACUUCCAUAUGUCACAGGCACCGCCUGUAAACAGAAAAACAACAGUUUGGCCCCUGCUUUGUUCGCCUGCCUCUCCCGGUAUUGAGGGUUUUUCUGUGCCACUAGGAUGCAAUAUUCUGCUGACCUCAUUACAUGCAGAGGAUAGAAACACCUACACAGAAAUUCCUGGAGUCUUAGCAAUUUUUUGAGGUAUGAUUGACAUGCAAAAGGCUGCCCAGAUGUAGCAUAGACAACUUGAUGAGUCUAUGGGGUGGCUGUUUGUGAGGAGCCUGAGGUGGCAGAGGGCAUGAGCGUGCCAGAAACACCCACGCGAUGCCUCUACGCACCCACGUCCCUGGCAUGGGAUUGCGGCCACGUGGCUGGUUCCGGCCAGGGGGCGGUGAGAAGUGCGCAUGUCCGUCCGGCGUGGGGACGGGGCAGCGCUGAGCGCGCCCGCAUCCUCAGCCUCCCACGCCGUGACUCCGGAUCCGCGGCACGGGCUCCAGAAGAAGCCGAUGCAAGAUGGGGUGGGACCCCCCAACCCCAUAGGCAGGAAAUGCACGCUCCCCGUGUGACCCUGAGACCUCAGGGUGUGGGCUCUGUUGCGGAGACCAAGCUCCCUGCCCUGAACACGAUUCCUGACAAAUCACUGCAAACGAUUUACCCGGAACGGGAAUGAUCCACGACCAGCUGAGAUGAGCAGAUGUCCCACCCAGUGUUAGACAGACCGAGGGGUCCUAUUCCCAAGACAGAGUAACAUUCACGCAGGAGCAGGGACAUAUAUGAGUGGAGCUGAAGAGACUCGUAUUUACGUUGGGACCUGUCCAUGCAAAAAUGCAAAAA